GAGAAAGCCCCGCAAGGGGAGAGUAAAGUGGCGUACGGGUGAGUAACACGUGGGUAAUCUGCUCUUUGGUGGGGAAUAACCCUGGGAAACCGGGGCUAAUACCGCAUAAGCUCGCAAGAGGAAAGGUGCAAAUCGCCGAAGAAGGAGCCCGCGGCUGAUUAGCUAGUUGGUGAGGUAAAGGCUUACCAAGGCGAAGAUCGGUAGCCGGCCUGAGAGGGCACACGGCCACACUGGCACUGAAACACGGGCCAGACUCCUACGGGAGGCAGCAGUGGGGAAUCUUGCACAAUGGGGGAAACCCUGAUGCAGCGACGCCGCGUGAGCGAUGAAGCCCUUCGGGGUGUAAAGCUCUUUCGGCAGGAACGAUAAUGACGGUACCUGAAGAAGAAGCUGCGGCUAACUACGUGCCAGCAGCCGCGGUAAUACGUAGGCAGCAAGCGUUG
rnacentral:rRNA from 1 species